UACGUAGGGGGCUAGCGUUGUCCGGAAUCAUUGGGCGUAAAGAGCGCGUAGGCGGCCAGAUAAGUCCGCUGUGAAAGUCGGGGGCUCAACCCUCGAAUGCCGGUGGAUACUGUCGGGCUAGAGUGCGGAAGAGGCGAGUGGAAUUCCUGGUGUAGCGGUGAAAUGCGCAGAUAUCAGGAGGAACACCAAUUGCGAAGGCAGCUCGCUGGGACGUGACUGACGCUGAGACGCGAAAGCGUGGGGAGCAAACAGG
rnacentral:rRNA from 1 species